CAUGGAGCCUGGUGAGGUGGCCUGAGUCACUGAAGGUCACCCGGCUCCUUGUGGGAGGAGAGAGUGAGACUCAGCGUGUGUCCACUCCAGAGGAAUUUUCUUGACUCUCUCACCCUCCUGGGGGGACUCGCGCUGCUGUCGGUGGAGAUCGUCACUGUCUGUCUACCGCGUGAGCUGCGGGAUCCACUGCCCCGCGGAGCUUGGGAACUUGACAGGGCUCUGAGAAGUCCUCCAAUGAAGAUACACAAAGACCAGUAAAAUGAAGAUACACAAAGACAAGUAAACUGAAGACUGAGGAAUUCAAGAACCACCUAAGGAAAGGGGCUCCUCAUGAUACCAAGUGGCUGCCACAACUCUUGCCUAAGAUGCUUUCAGGAACAAGAGGGAUUCACGUCUGGGACAGACAGGAGAAGAGCUCCUGGGAUUUGCAGAAGAAAGAGGCCUGGGGACAAGUAGAUGUCAUCACUGGGGCCUCAGGAAGACCUUAUCGGGCCUGUAGACUCUUCAUUUGGAGCCUUGGUCUUAGCAGUGUUGAUUUCUGGCCCUUGGCGGAUGGCUACUAUACCUGGGAGUUACUUGCCUCUGUAAGUAACUCCGAAGGCCACUUCGCCUUAGGAUGGCAGGAUGGUUUCAUCAUAUUCUGUGUAACUGACACCAGAAAGAAUCCUAUCUCAUACAGCUGAGUUUAGUCCCAUUAUUGCCUGGCAUACGAGCCUCCUUCACUAUGGGAAAAUGCGCUGCGCUACCCUCUGCGCCCUCCUCUGGGACCAGCUCCGUUUGUUCUCUUUGAGUGGAAGACAGAUCAGCCUUGAGUACCUGGCACUGUUUUAUAUCUCAGUGUGGCAUUUGGUAAGGCACCUAAAGGACCUCUGGCCUUCCAGAUGCGUCUGAGCAGCCCAAUAAAACUUAAUUGCCCAUUCUGUCCCUUUGUACC
ensembl:lncRNA